ACGAUGUUCCGCUAUCGUAUAGUUUCGGUAAGAGCAUUAG
rfam:Gracilibacillus kekensis strain CGMCC 1.10681 genome assembly, contig: Ga0079828_104